rnacentral:tRNA from 1 species
GCCAGUGUAGCUUAUUAACUGGCAAAGCACCGCCCUUGUUGGCGGAAGGAUGCGGGUUCGAAUUCCGCCACUGGCA